AUCUAGCUGACGAGCCCCAAAUAGGACGGGACACUCGUCCUGGAU
rnacentral:hammerhead_ribozyme from 1 species